UGAUAAUAUAUCUAAAAAAAAACUCAUUCUCUAUAAAUAUGCUUCUGAAACAACGAAAUCAGAAACUGUUAAUGUUAAUAUGGUCUGGUUAAGAGCUAAUCGCCAUUCAAUGUUGGCGUUAAGUUAACCGCUACUUAAUUGACAGAUGGGCCUUAACCGGGAAGGAAUUAUAUGCCGCCAUCCGAUUAUGUUAAGACAAAGAACGUAUAUUAAUUAAUAUAUGUAAUUAAGAUAUUAUCUUUGCUUUUUCGGUGAAACGUGAGCCACUUCAAUGAACAAUUCGCCGUUCUUUUCCCUUCUUAUUAAUAUACGUUCUUUGGUUAUGAUUAAGUGCUUAACCGGAGAUGUAGGAAACGGCUCAAAAUGAAGAAAGGCAACCGAAAAGCAAUAUCUCCCAAGCAAUAUGAUAGGCGAAGAAUUAAAGACCACAAAGCAGAGCUCUCCCCUUGAAGUUCUCAUUUUUAAAGACAGAUUUUUUUCGUUAUAUCAGAGCGAAGUAAAAGUUCAGCGGGAGGCUUUACAACCAUUACAUCAGGCUGCCGACUUACUUGCCGCACAAGGACUUACCGCUGAAGAAAAGAAGGAAACGAAAUUACCUCCCACAUUUAUUAUUAAUUAAAAAAACUAAUGAGAGCAUUCUCUAGUACUAUUAAAGUGGUGAAAGAUGGUGCGACUGACACAAAUCACACCGCAAAGUAGCGAAAUACCAAUAUAGACUCCUUUACAGCAGACCCAAACUUAGAAACAGCAACACAUCGCCAUUUAGCACCACAAUGUAUGUGUGUACAACGUCGAUUCCAUCACAUUCAGGAGCAAAAUCAACAAUAUACCCAUUUACGAGUACUCACUCACUUGCCACACCAGCUGUACAACAUCAACAAACCAUUAAUGUACAAUACAAACCUUCGGAAAUAUUAUAUAUGAAAAUUAAAAAAGAAGUUGCUGAAAGUAAAAAUGAUGUUACAAAUGUUUAAAUAAUAAUAUAAAGUAUCUUAACUGCUAAUAAUUAUUAUCAACCUAGA